GAUGAACGCUGGCGGCGUGCCUAAUACAUGCAAGUCGAGCGAACAGACGAGGAGCUUGCUCCUCUGACGUUAGCGGCGGACGGGUGAGUAACACGUGGAUAACCUACCUAUAAGACUGGGAUAACUUCGGGAAACCGGAGCUAAUACCGGCUAAUAUCUUGAACCGCAUGGUUCAAUAGUGAAAGACGGUUUUGCUGUCACUUAUAGAUGGAUUCGCGCCGCAUUAGCUAGUUGGUAAGGUAACGGCUUACCAAGGCGACGAUGCGUAGCCGACCUGAGAGGGUGAUCGGCCACACUGGAACUGAGACACGGUCCAGACUCCUACGGGAGGCAGCAGUAGGGAAUCUUCCGCAAUGGGCGAAAGCCUGACGGAGCAACGCCGCGUGAGUGAUGAAGGUCUUCGGAUCGUAAAACUCUGUUAUUAGGGAAGAACAAAUGUGUAAGUAACUAUGCACGUCUUGACGGUACCUAAUCAGAAAGCCACGGCUAACUACGUG
rnacentral:rRNA from 1 species